AGAAAGGGAGAGAGAGAGAGAGAGAGAGAGAGAGAGAGAGAGAGAGAGAGAGAGAGAGAGAAACAGAAAUAUAUUCAGAUCCUAAAGCCAGAUAUAUUUCUAUAUAUGUAUACUCUAAUACAAGCUUGCAGAAAUAUAAAUAACACUGGUACAUUUAAAUUAUUAGCAGUGUAGCUUAUGUUUCAUUAACAUAAAUUUUACAUAUUUAUUUUUGUGAGCCAUAGCUUUAUGUAGCCCAGGUUGUCUCACAGUAGCUUGAGAUCACCUUGUUUCUCUUGGCUACACAAAGUGCUGAGAUCACCACCAUGGCCAGUUAAUUUUACAGUUUUAAUUUCAAUGUUACUCUUAUACCCUGUUUACAUGUAAGAUUAAAAUUAUCAUAUGGAAUCAUUUUUGUAAAAUACUCUUGAAAACUGUGGGUCACUGAAAAAAUUACCUAUUUCUCUAUAGUGUGAUGCUACUGUAUCAGAGUGACUUCUUUUCUGUCCAAGAACAUUUUAAUCACUAAAAUAGCCAUAUAUGUCACAAUAAUCUUACUCAUCUGUUGGGCUGUAGUGGUUUCAAGUAUUUUUUUUAACCACAUGUAACUAUAUGUAGCAUGUAUCAAGGUUCAUGUUUAAAGAAGUUGUUUGCAAUAGAUAUUAGGGACAGAAAGUACAUGUCCUUUGGGUUCAUGGUGUCCACAUGUUAUUUGUCUUCGCUCUGACUCCAUCUCUUCCCAAGUACUUGUCUCAGCCUCUUUCCCUAACUGGCUCAACCCUCACAUGCACUUAAUUCCCUUUUAGUGUGGUUUUCAAGUGUGUCCUUCUGUUUACAGUUAGCUAGGUUUGCCUCCUACAUCUUACCAUCUUGGUGGUGGUAGUAAUGGUGGUGUGGUAGAAAGAGUAACAGGAGCCACCCCCUACAGAGAGCAGAGCCUGAAAAUGCACUGGCUAGCCCUUCACCAUCGACCAGAGGAAUCCGAGUGUCAGUUUAUAAUGUCAGAUGUCAGUUUAGAAGCCAGGAAGGGGGAAUGCACCUUCCAGUCACUGGUUCUGUAUUUAGUACGUGUCCUCCUUUAGAUAUUACCAGUCAGUGGUAUCACUAUAGUUAUUUUUACUUACUUCUAAAUAUCGACCAAAGAGGAGUUAUGUGCUAAAGGAAUCAUUUACAGGAGAAACACAUCUGAUAUGUUAUGAUAUAUAUAUAUAUAUAUAUAUAUAUAUAUAUAUAUAUAUAUAUAUAUAUUGAUAUAUAUUGAUAUAUAUUGAUAUAUAUUGAUAUAUAUCCCUCAGGUAUAUUAAUAAGCCUGAGGAAGAAAGAGAGGUGUAAUUUAAAACUAGAGAGCUGGGGGAAGUGACGAAAGUCUAUAAUCCCAGCACUCUGAAAACUGAGGAAUUUUUAGGCCAGACUGGAACACAAUGAGAUCUUACUUAAAAAUACCAAACAAAAAAAAGAAAAAGAAAAAAGAAAAUGUUAGAAAGUAAAAUCAUACUCCUAUUCACAUAUCUAAUAGGAGUUAGUUUUUACUCUAAGGUUAUUUUUUAUUUAUUAACAGUACAUUCCAAGGCAUCACAUUAAUCACUGGUCAUAAAUUCAUGGUUUUCUCAUACCUGAUUAUGUUCUAUCUAUACUCUUUAGUGGCCUAGUAGUAGACUAUGCUUUUAACAGUAUAACAUUUAAAGACGAAGUGAAAAAAAAAGAGCAAAAUCUGCUUCCCUUUGCUGGAUAUCACUUUAAACCAUAAUUAACUAAAGAUUUUACUUAUGUAUAAACAUAUGUUAAGGUAUAUGUGCGUGGUAUGUGCAACAUCUAUGGUAUUGUGCCUGUCGCAAAUCUCCAAGUAGAUUUUGAAAUUCACUAGGAAGAAACAACACAUUUAAUGACAUCUUAAUUUUAUUUUAUAAAUCACACC
rnacentral:lncRNA from 1 species